UCAAAUGAAUUGACGGGGGCCCGCACAAGCGGUGGAGCAUGUGGUUUAAUUCGAUGCAACGCGAAGAACCUUACCUACUCUUGACAUCCAGAGAAUCCAGCGGAGACGCAGGAGUGCCUUCGGGAGCUCUGAGACAGGUGCUGCAUGGCUGUCGUCAGCUCGUGUUGUGAAAUGUUGGGUUAAGUCCCGCAACGAGCGCAACCCUUAUCCUUGUUUGCCAGCGAGUAAUGUCGGGAACUCCAGGGAGACUGCCGGUGAUAAACCGGAGGAAGGUGGGGACGACGUCAAGUCAUCAUGGCCCUUACGAGUAGGGCUACACACGUGCUACAAUGGCGCAUACAGAGGGCAGCAAGCUAGCGAUAGUGAGCGAAUCCCAAAAAGUGCGUCGUAGUCCGGAUUGGAGUCUGCAACUCGACUCCAUGAAGUCGGAAUCGCUAGUAAUCGUAGAUCAGAAUGCUACGGUGAAUACGUUCCCGGGCCUUGUACACACCGCCCGUCACACCAUGGGAGUGGGCUGCAAAAGAAGUGGGUAGUUUAACCUUUCGGGGAGGACGCUCACCACUUUGUGGUUCAUGACUGGGGUGAAGUCGUAACAAGGUAGCCCUAGGGGAACCUGGGGCUGGAUCACCUCCUUAU
rnacentral:rRNA from 1 species